rnacentral:misc_RNA from 1 species
ACCAUAUCCCCAACAGGGCUAUCCACCUGGUGGAUAUCCUCCUCCUGGUGGAUAUCCUCCUUCUGGUGGAUAUCCGCCAGCAGGUUAUCCUCCCCCAGGGGGAUACCCACCUGCAGGUUAUCCUCCUUCAGGUGGUUACCCUCCAGCUGGUUAUCCUGGCCCAUCAGCCCCACAUCAUUCAGGUAUAUUUAAUGUGAUUUCUAUGGUAGUGAUAUGUGUUUGGUAUUGGUAGUCAUUUCUUCCAGUGGAGGACUUUAUGGUCCUAUUUCACUUGUGUUCUUUUGGUGAAUAUGGUCCGCCCUAAUAGUAAGUUCUUGCACCACAAUAUCUAUGCAACUUUUGGUUGAUGUGUUUCUGUUAUUGGCAAUUUGAUUAAUGCACAUAAGGAACACCUGAACAGUUACCAGUUGGCUAACUUCUCUCUCAGGGUUGUGUAUUUGUAGCUGCUCAAUAUCUUUAUGCUUAAGAAUUGGAAGUUAGCUGGACAAGAAUUUUCUGAUGCAAAGAUCACUAAUAGAGAGGAUUAUCUUUUAUAUCAAAUUUGCAUUAAUAAGAAAUCAUCUCAUUAUGGAGAGCACUGUAUUUUGACGACAAUUGAAAUGCUACUACUAGUGGCAAACUUGCGAGUAAAAAGUCUCCCCCUGCUUCACAUGCUUGCAUGCUGGACUAAUGAUGAUAUGCUGUUUUGGCCCUUUGCCCAAUUUAUGCUAGUCUAUCGGUCUGAUUGGCAUUAUUGUUUGAGCUAGUGUUGAGAAAUGUACAUCCUUAAAUAUGUUACUUUGCCGCCCAACCUCAACUGAAAACGGGCGUAAAUCCAUUAUGCUGUUGCCUGACUAGUAAUGAUUACAGGGCAUGGAUCUCAUGGAUCUGGUAUGGGGCCCCUGUUAGCUGGGGGUGCAGCUGCUGCUGCUGUUGCUUAUGGGGCUCACCAACUGUCACAUGGACAUGGACAUGGACAUUAUGGGUAUGGCAUGGGUCAUGGGAAGUUCAAGCAUGGAAAAUUUAAGCAUGGGAAGUUUGGAAAGCACGGAAUGUUUGGAAAGCACAAGGGCAAAUCCUUCAAGAGAUGGAAGUGAUUCUUUCCUAUAUGUAUUUGACUCCCCCUCUUAUUAUGUACGCACCAGCUUUCUCCCAUAACUGAUUUGGCUUUUCAGAGAUUGCUUUCUGUUUUUCUCCUAACGAAUUUACGUUCAGUUUAGGUAUUACUACAGUCAUGUACUUCAUAUAUCUUACAUGUUUGCUGCUUUGUUUUAUUUUAUUUUAUUUAUUUUGUGUAAAUGAAUGAGUUGGUCAUCAUGG